AACGAACGCUGGCGGCAUGCUUAACACAUGCAAGUCGAACGAGAAAGCUCUUCGGAGUGAGUAGAGUGGCGCACGGGUGAGUAAUGCAUGGGAACGUACCCUCAGGUUGGGAAUAACCACGGGAAACUGUGGCUAAUACCGAAUAGGCUCGCAAGAGUAAAGGAGGCGCAAGCUUUCGCCAGAGGAUCGGCCCAUGUCCCAUUAGCUAGUUGGCAGGGUAGUGGCCUACCAAGGCUACGAUGGGUAGCUGGUCUGAGAGGAUGAUCAGCCACACUGGGACUGAGACACGGCCCAG
rnacentral:rRNA from 1 species